UGGGGAAUAUUGCACAAUGGGCGCAAGCCUGAUGCAGCCAUGCCGCGUGUAUGAAGAAGGCCUUCGGGUUGUAAAGUACUUUCAGCGGGGAGGAAGGUGUUGUGGUUAAUAACCACAGCAAUUGACGUUACCCGCAGAAGAAGCACCGGCUAACUCCGUGCCAGCAGCCGCGGUAAUACGGAGGGUGCAAGCGUUAAUCGGAAUUACUGGGCGUAAAGCGCACGCAGGCGGUCUGUCAAGUCGGAUGUGAAAUCCCCGGGCUCAACCUGGGAACUGCAUCCGAAACUGGCAGGCUUGAGUCUUGUAGAGGGGGGUAGAAUUCCAGGUGUAGCGGUGAAAUGCGUAGAGAUCUGGAGGAAUACCGGUGGCGAAGGCGGCCCCCUGGACAGAGACUGACGCUCAGGUGCGAAAGCGUGGGGAGCAAACA
rnacentral:rRNA from 1 species